UUCAUGUCUUGGCAGCUGGAUAGUCGGUUUAAUCUUGGUAAAAAGUUCAUCGGCUACCAAUGGCUGAGAUCCAUGGAGUCUAGGCAGAGGAGGACGCCAUUCUACAUUGCUAACUACAGGCCACAUGAAAGUUCAAGAGAGCGAGACAAUGACGUUUAUUACGUGAAGACUUACAGGUACUGACGGCCUACCCUCGUGUUCUUCGCCAACCCAACGCUCCAGUCAACCCACAACACCUUCCGCUCGACUAUGUCACUGAUGUAAAAAUUUCAUUCAUAACCCCAAAUACAAAUACCUUGUUGGAUAAAUUAAAUAAUGUUUUUAAAUGAGAUGUUAUUCAUGUGUACAUUGUGUAAAUUAAAAUAAACGUGAAUUGACACAAGUUAGAACUUAACUUAAGUGAAGUU